UAACGCGUGGGUAACCUGCCUCAUACAGGGGGAUAGCAGCUGGAAACGGCUGAUAAAACCGCAUAAGCGCACAGCAUCGCAUGAUGCAGUGUGAAAAACUCCGGUGGUAUGAGAUGGACCCGCGUCUGAUUAGCUAGUUGGUGAGGUAACGGCCCACCAAGGCGACGAUCAGUAGCCGGCCCGAGAGGGUGACCGGCCACAUUGGGACUGAGACACGGCCCAA
rnacentral:rRNA from 1 species